GAUUUUCAUCAUUAAUGACUGUUAUGCGACCUUGUAUAUUUAGUGGCAACAAAUCUCAGCAGCAUGAAACAGGUAGUACGCAGACGAGGUUGAAUGGUCAAAAGUUUAUCUGUAAAUUUAGAUUUAAAAUCAUAAACACAACAUCGUCGUGUGUGACUCUGUGUAUCUAUUAAUUAUUAAAAAAAAAAGUGCAAGUGAUGGUAAAUAUCAAUUUCGUAAAGUUUGCUGUCGACGCGCAGACCGAAAUUUGUGAGUUUAUAUGGAAAAGCCAUAUCUUUGUGUGUCAUUUUUUUAAUGCUAACGCACCAUGCACUCAACAAAGAAAUUCACUAUAACGAAGAAACAGAUUUCCUUCAAGAAUCCAUCAAACGCUUUGGACCUCCUCGUCCCCUAACUUACGAAAACUGCAGUUUUCCUGGUCCAGAAAUAUCUGCUGAUAAGAACCUUGUCCAAGAAAAUAUAUUCAUUAACGAUGAGUCCGGAAAUUAUACCCUUAAUAUUUGGUUACAGAUUGUGGACAGUUACAGACAAUUUCAGCUAUAACAACCACUACGAAGUUGGAGAAGCUAAGAUCAUCAACAAUGAGAAAAUUAUCACUGUUAAGGGCCAGUUUACCGAGAAAAUUCCACGAAAACAAGGGGGUUUCUUCCUUCGUACAAUUGGUUUUAUCAAUGACGAAAGAAGUUAUCGUUUAUUUUUACUUGAUGUUACGAAAAUUACGAUAGACUUGAAAAAGAAAAUCAGAGAACGAAUUCGUGGAGGAUGUGGAAGACGGAAACGAAGAAGUCCAAUAGACCCAUGUACACUCGCUUCUUUAGUUGGCUAAAUAAGAUAAUAAACAACUUCUUAUGUACUAGAAACUGGAAAAAGUUGCGAUUUUAUUAUAUUAUGUCGAAACCAUAUAUUUGUCUUUUCUAUUAAUGAUG